GCGGUCAACGGUUUCGAAUGGAUGGGCCUAACAUGGUCGGCUGCACGACGAUAGCGAUGUGAUACUGUUCUCAUUGUAGAUAUUUAUUCCAGGCCGACUCACGUUUAUGUUUUUAACUGUCGGAUAAACGUGUACAAAAUAAACAAGGUACAUUUUCAAAAGGACAGCCCAGAAGAUAAGCGCUGCAUUUGCCGGUGAAGUCGCCAUCGCUGUCUGCAGCUGUCAUCAGCUGACCGGGCCUAGGUGACAGUGGACGUUGAUGUCGUCGGUUGUCGUCAUGGACCCUGCUCGAGUCUCAGAAUACGAGACUGUAGGCAAACGUUGCACUGAUCGGCUUCAUCAAGGAGGUCAAGAAAGCAUCAGUAUGGCCGAUUACCUAAUCACAGGGGGAACCGGUUACAUCCCCGACGAUGGUCUGACGGGUGCUCAACUCUUUGGCGGCGGCGAUGGAAUGACUUACAAUGAUUUCCUAAUUCUACCAGGCUUCAUAGACUUCUCGGCUAACGAUGUGGACCUGACAUCUGCGUUGACUCGUAAGAUCACCCUGAAAUCUCCCCUGGUGUCUUCACCUAUGGACACAGUCACUGAAGCCCAGAUGGCCAUUGGCCUAGCAUUGUGUGGCGGUAUUGGAAUCAUCCAUCAUAACUGUACCGCAGAGUUCCAGGCAAAUGAGGUCAGAAAGGUCAAGAAAUACGAACAAGGGUUCAUCCUGGAUCCCGUGGUCAUGUCCCCCAGUCAUACAGUUGCCGACAUCGUGCAGGCCAAGAGACAGUACGGCUUCUCCGGCAUCCCCAUCACAGAUAAGGGACACAUGGGGGAGAAGCUUGUCGGCCUCGUUACGCAGCGAGACAUCGACUUCUUUACCAGGGACCAGUACCACACUCCCAUCUCAGAGGUGAUGACGCCAUAUGAAGACCUGAUAGUGGCACCAGCAGGUGUGACGCUCAAAGAAGCCAAUGGAAUCUUACAGAAGAGCAAGAAAGGUAAACUCCCCAUCGUUAAUGAUCGGGACGAGCUGGUGGCCCUGAUUGCCAGAACAGACACAAAGAAGAACCGAGAGUUUCCUCUGGCUUCCAAGGAUGAGAAGAAGCAGUUGUUGGUUGGUGCUGCGGUCAGCACACAUGAGGAGGACAAGGACCGUAUUGACCAGCUUGUUCAGGCAGGGGUGGAUGUUGUUGUGUUGGAUUCCUCACAAGGCAACUCCAUAUUCCAGAUUAAUCUGAUCCGCUACCUGAAACAGAAGUACCAUGAUCUCCAGGUUAUUGGAGGCAACGUGGUCACAGCAGCUCAAGCGAAGAAUCUGAUAGAUGCAGGCGUGGACGGACUAAGGGUCGGCAUGGGGAGCGGCUCUAUCUGCAUCACACAGGAAGUAAUGGCAGUAGGUCGUCCCCAGGGUACUGCUGUCUACAAAGUUGCCGAGUAUGCUCGCCGAUUUGGAGUGCCAGUCGUUGCUGACGGAGGCGUUUCAUCAGUUGGACAUAUCAUCAAGGCUUUGUCACUGGGAGCAUCCACAGUCAUGAUGGGUUCAUUACUGGCCGGGACCACAGAGGCUCCCGGAGAAUAUUUCUUCGCUGAUGGUGUGCGGUUAAAAAAGUAUCGGGGUAUGGGAUCUCUGGACGCCAUGGAGACUCAUCGGAGUAGUCAGAGUCGAUAUUUCAGCGAGAGUGAUAAAAUCAAAGUAGCACAAGGUGUAUCAGGGUCCAUCGUUGACAAAGGCUCCAUCCAGAAGUUCGUUCCAUAUCUGAUAGCUGGGAUCAAACAUGGCUGCCAAGACAUUGGUGCCAAAAGUCUUUCCAUUUUGAGACAAGGGGGAUACUUUAGUUUUACAAGACACGUGGAGCCGGCAGAAGAUUUCUUUGCUGAAGUUUGGAAUUAUGAGAAGGUCGAUGAUGUAUUCAGGUGAACUAAAGUUUGAGAAGAGAACGACGUCUGCUCAGAUUGAGGGAGGAGUGCACGGCCUACACAACUAUGAGAAGAGGUUGUACUGAGCCAUAAUGCCUUCCAAACUCACGAUUAUCUUGCUCAACAUUGCCAUGCCGACAAAGGCCACAGCCAUGGUCAUCUCCAGGAUGUAGCAGGGGUAAAAGCAUUUACUAAAAGAUCACUUAAUAUGGGCCAUCUCUCAGCAUUAUUGUUGAGUUUGAACUGGAAAACAAGCCAUGCAGAUCUGUUGUUUGGGGUUUCUGGUUUCCUGACUAGUGACAAGAAAGCUACUAAUUUCCUGACAACUAGUGAAAAGAAAGUUACUAGAUUCCUGACAACUAGUGACAAGAAAGCUACUAGAUUCCUGACAGCUAGUGA